UGGGGAAUAUUGCACAAUGGGCGAAAGCCUGAUGCAGCAACGCCGCGUGAGGGACGACGGCCUUCGGGUUGUAAACCUCUUUUAGCAAGGAAGAAGCGAAAGUGACGGUACUUGCAGAAAAAGCGCCGGCUAACUACGUGCCAGCAGCCGCGGUAAUACGUAGGGCGCAAGCGUUAUCCGGAAUUAUUGGGCGUAAAGAGCUCGUAGGCGGUUUGUCGCGUCUGCUGUGAAAACCCGAGGCUCAACCUCGGGCCUGCAGUGGGUACGGGCAGACUAGAGUGCGGUAGGGGAGAUUGGAACUCCUGGUGUAGCGGUGGAAUGCGCAGAUAUCAGGAAGAACACCGAUGGCGAAGGCAGAUCUCUGGGCCGUAACUGACGCUGAGGAGCGAAAGGGUGGGGAGCAAACAGGCUUAGAUGACCCUGGUAGUCCA
rnacentral:rRNA from 1 species